GUUGUUGCAGUUAAAAAGCUCGUAGUUGGAUUUCUAGCCGACGUUAUUGGUCCCCACCGCUCAGCGUAAGGCGUACCGCACGCGUCGUCUAUCCUAUCACUUUGUCUGGUUUCGGCCGGGCUGACUGGUUCUUUCACUUUGAAAAAAUUAGAGUGUUUAUAGCAGGCUUGCGCAAUGAAUACAUUAUCAUGGAAUAAUAAUAUAAGACUUCGGUCUCUACUUUAUUGGUUCUGGAAUAGAAGUAAUGAUUGAUAGGGAUAAUUGGGGGUGCUAUUAUUGAGUGGCCAUAGGUGAAAUUCUUAUAUUCACUCAAGACUAACUUAUGCUAAAGCAUUCACCAAGGAUGUCUUCUUUAAUCAAGAACGAAAGUUGGGGGAUCGAAGACGAUCAGAUACCGUCGUAGUCUCAACCAUAAACUAUACCGACUAAUGAUGAGUGACCGCUUAUUUGGCUUC
rnacentral:rRNA from 1 species